AUGGGCUCUUGGACCCUCUGUGUGUCCCUUUAUAUCCUGGUAGCGACACACACAGAUGCUGGCAUUAACCAGUCGCCCAGGCAUAAAGUGACAGAGAUGGGACAAUCAAUAACUCUGAGAUGCAAACCUAUUUCAGGCCACAGUGAUCUUCUCUGGUACAGACAGACCUUGGUGCAGGGACUGGAAUUGCUGAAUUACUUCUACAGCCGGACCCUCGUAGAUGACUCAGGGAUGCCCAAGGAUCGAUUCUCAGCACAGAUGCCUGGAAUGAUACAUUCCAGAUGUAUCAUUCUCCACUCUGAGGAUCCAGCCCACGGAACCCAGGGACUCGGGCCUGUAUUUCUGUGCCAGCAGCUUUGCCACAGCACUGCAGAAUCUCCCCAUCUCUGUGCAGAAACCCUGGUGCUUCCUCUUCUCCCCACAGCUCUCAGCAGUCAUGAGUAAAGUCUUUCCUGCUCCUCUCUCACCAUAA